rnacentral:rRNA from 1 species
UACGAAGGGGGCUAGCGUUGUUCGGAAUUACUGGGCGUAAAGCGCACGUAGGCGGACUGUCAAGUCAGGGGUGAAAUCCCGGGGCUCAACCUCGGAACUGCCUUUGAUACUGUCAGUCUAGAGUCCGGAAGAGGUGGGUGGAAUUCCUAGUGUAGAGGUGAAAUUCGCAGAUAUUAGGAAGAACACCGGUGGCGAAGGCGGCCCACUGGUCCGGUACUGACGCUGAGGUGCGAAAGAGUGGGGAGCAAACAGG